GAAGCAGGUGAGGUCCUCAAAUGUCUGGGAGAAACAGUUCAGGGGCUCUGUGCCCAAGGCCAGCAAGAAGACAUCUGAGAACAGAGUUGUUCCAUACGGGUUAUAGGCUACGUUUGUUCAUUUCUAUGAAGAAAGCAAGUGAGCUCCAGACAGAGGCGUGCAAGUCUAUAGAUCACAUGUGAAGUCUCAUGAGACACCAAUAUCACCUGCCUUCCAGGUUGUUAAUCAGAGGACAUCGAUCACUUCAUCCGACAGGCAACGCUUCACUUUCACCCAGUCCCUGCAUAAUCCCUGUUCCACAGUGCAGCCAGAGUGAUGCUUCCAACACAAAAAUGCCAGCUUUGGACCCGUGGGCAGCUCAGUGGGCUACAGCACUUCCUGCACAUCCCAAGACACCCAACUUUCAUCCCAGAACCCAAGUGAAGUGGAAAGAGAGAACAAGCCCCACAGACGGUCCUCUGACCUCCACACACUCGCUGUGGCGCACUUGCCCACACAGGUAUCAGGCGCGCACACACAGUAAUGAUAAAAAAUGGAUGAAAUACAAAUCUGAUCCAGACACACUUACUGACAGCCCCUAAAGAGUGUUCUUUUUUAAUCUUAUGUGCACGUGUGUGUAAGCCAUGUGUGUGUCGGUACUUAACGGGGUCCAGGAGAGGUAUUGAAUCCCUGGAAUGGGAAUUCUAAGUAGCUAGGAGCUGCUGUGAUGGCGAUGGGAAUGUGAAUUUAGGUCCUCUGAGCCAUCUCUCCAGCCCUCUUUUUUUCUUUUCUCUUUUCAUUUUGUUUUCAGUAGCUGCUCUUGAGGACGUGACCCAUGUCCUUAAGGCUAUCACUAAAGCUCGGGCUGGCCUAGCCUCUGUCACGAUGUUCAUGGAAUAAUGUUUUCUUUGUUCUGGCCUUAUGACGCUAUGUUCUGAUCCUGAACACAUCACCAGACACUGGUGCUAAGAUCUCUUUCUCCAGGGAACUCCUGCUUCCUCUCUGUGCCCAAAUUAAUACAUUAUUCUUGCUUCAAAUGCUUUCCUGGUUCCGUCUCUUGUUCUACAUUCCCCAGGUCGCUCUUACAGUAUGGACUACCCACCUCUGGAUUUUACUGUAUGUUACACAUCUGCCACCUGUCAAGGACAUCCUCAUCUACAGGCAGGGUUUCAUGAAGUCCAGGCUGACCUCUGACCAGGAUGACCUUGAACUUCUGACUCUCUUGCCUCUAUUCCCCCCCAGUACUCGGAGUGCAGACCUAUAAUAUUAUGCCCAGUUUCUACGGUGCUGGGAAUCGGACCCAGGGCUUUGUGCAUUCUAGGCUAAUACUCUGUUCACUGAACUACAUUCCCAGCCCUAGACAACUUUAUUUAAAAAAAGAUAUAUUCUAUUUUUUAAGGUGUGUGUAUGUGUAUGUGGGGGUGGGUGAGUGUCAUGUGAGUACAAAUUCCUGUGGAGGCCAGCCUUCAGAGGGUCUCGGAUCUUCUGGAACUAGAUCUAGUUAUAAGCACUGGUUGUGGGCACCGAGACACAAACUCAGAGCCUUUGGGAAAGCAGGACAUGCACUUGAUCACCGACCCAUCUCUCCAGCCCUAGGACGGCCUUUUUCAAUGCCUGCCCCUGGACCACAUCCCUGCAGUGAGUGUCACGCUGAAGGUUCAUCUCCACAGGUCCCAUCUACCCCACAUCAGCCUCCCGUUCACUCCAGUGAAUUUCUUCUUCUUGAAUCACUUCAGGUUCCACACGUUCAGCUCUGUUCACUACAGAUCUUUGCAUUGUUGUAGAGUCCGCCAUCGUCAGAUAGCACUUAGCUACUACGUACAGGGCCCAGGCUUUCGGAAGACCUGAUUUGACACCAGCAACGACGAGGUAUGUAUAAUCAACCCCAUUUCUCAGAGGAGAAAAACAGGCUCAGAGAGGUUAAAUGGUGUGAGGAAGGCCACACAGGCAAUAUGUGGCACACAAGCACCUGAGCUCCAGUCUGUCAGUCUAGGAUCUGUGGUGUUAACUACACGGUCACAGUGGGUUGUUCAUCUGAUUCAUUGGGGAGAAAAAGAUUACACCUGUUUCCUAAGACCCUGUAGAGACAGCUGAGAACUCCCAUGAGCAAUCAAAGGGAAAGCAAGUCAGACAGACCACACACCACGGGAGUGUGGGUGGGGAUGAGGAAGGGACUCCCUUUCAGCUAGGAGAGGAACACCUCCCCCAGUACCACUCCAAAGGAAUUUACCUCAUCUGGCUGAGGUUGGAGGGCCUCUGCCUCUCUCCUUUUAGACCAAUUAGCUGGUUGUAAGCUGGUGACCUGCCAGAGAAGGGCUGCCUAGAAGUCAAAAGUGAGAGGAACACAAGUCCUCCAAAUCCAGCCACCAUCUCUCUGGGGCAGAAUGUCACUUGGAGCUAAACUGUGCUUCAGCCAAUCCUGGCAUAGACCGUGUUGGGGCAGAGCAAAGACUCUGAGGCUGGGGUGACUCCCCAUAGAUGCAGGGAGACAUCCUGGUGAGGAGGUUGGGAAGCAGGUAGGGGACCAAAGAGAAACUGUACCGUGAUUGGGAUGGAGGUGGGGACUGGUAGCAUGUGUGGUGUAUGUGGCCAAAGGGUCCUCCAGAACACCUAGUGCCCUGACGUAAGGG
rnacentral:sRNA from 1 species